UACGAGAGGACCGGGAUGGACGAACCACUGGUGUUCCUGUUGUCGCGCCAGCGGCAAUGGCAGGGUAGCCACGUUCGGCAGGGAUAACCGCUGAAAGCAUCUAAGCGGGAAGCCCACCCCAAGAUAAGAUAUCCCGUGGGUUAAUCCCCACCUGAAGGCUCGUCAUAGACCAUGACGUUGAUAGGCCGGGUGUGGAAGUGUGGCAACACAUGGAGCUUACCGGUACUAAUUAGCCGUGCGGCUUGACCAU
rnacentral:ncRNA from 1 species